rnacentral:rRNA from 1 species
UUGGAGGGCAAGUCUGGUGCCAGCAGCCGCGGUAAUUCCAGCUCCAAUAGCGUAUAUUAAAGUUGUUGCAGUUAAAAAGCUCGUAGUUGAAUUUCGAGAUCAGUACGCUGGUCGUGCCUUCGGUAUGCACUGGUGUCACUGGUUUCUCCCUUCUGAAGAACCGUCAUGUCAUUAAGUUGGUGUGGCGGGGAAUCAGGACUGUUACUUUGAAAAAAUUAGAGUGUUUAAAGCAGGCUCGCGCUUGAAUACAUUAGCAUGGAAUAAUGAAAUAGGACGUUUGACCCUAUUUUGUUGGUUUCUAGGAUCGACGUAAUGAUUAAUAGGGAUAGUUGGGGGCAUUAGUAUUCAAUUGUCAGAGGUGAAAUUCUUGGAUUUAUUGAAGACUAACUACUGCGAAAGCAUUUGCCAAGAAUGUUUUCAUUAAUCAAGAACGAAAGUUAGGGGAUCGAAGACGGUCAGAUACCGUCGUAGUCUUAACCAUAAACUAUGCCGACUAGGGAUCGGAUGAUGUUAAUUUUUUAAUGACUCAUUCGGCGCCUUACGGGAAAC